CCCAGCUGUAGGCAGCUGCCUAGGUUACCUUGUACGUAGGCAAGUGUGCCACUACUGGGAGAAAAGCAGCCAGUAGCUGGUGGGCAGUCUGGCCCUGGUUAAUGCCAACUAU
rnacentral:snoRNA from 1 species